GACGAAUGCUGGCGGCGUGCUUAACACAUGCAAGUCGAGCGGUAAGGCCCUUCGGGGUACACGAGCGGCGAACGGGUGAGUAACACGUGAGUAAUCUGCCCAUCACUUCGGGAUAACUCCGGGAAACCGGUGCUAAUACCGAAUAUGACCACUUCAGGCAUCUGAUGGUGGUGGAAAGUUCCGGCGGUGAUGGAUGAGCUCGCGGCCUAUCAGCUUGUUGGUGGGGUAGUGGCCUACCAAGGCUUCGACGGGUAGCCGGCCUGAGAGGGUGACCGGCCACACUGGGACUGAGACACGGCCCAGACUCCUACGGGAGGCAGCAGUGGGGAAUAUUGGACAAUGGGCGAAAGCCUGAUCCAGCAACGCCGCGUGAGGGAUGACGGCCUUCGGGUUGUAAACCUCUUUCAGCAGGGACGAAGCGCAAGUGACGGUACCUGCAGAAGAAGCACCGGCCAACUACGUG
rnacentral:rRNA from 1 species